UUGUAGCCUCGCCUCUUUGCCCAAAACGACGCCGUCCAACUUCGGUCAGCUUGCCUCGGUUCUUGCGUCUCUGCGGUUCAUGCAUCUUCAAUAUUCUCUUGCAUCAUCAGUUCUCGCGGACCACAUCGAUCGGUGUGUUGUCCUCGAUGCCUUAACUUUACCUCAGCUCUUCAAUCCCUGCGAGUUGUUCGAAUUACCUCCCCACUGUUCUUUUUCCUCAGCUCAGGACCUCAGAUUCAUCUUUCGUUGGUAUUGCUGUUGUUUGGAGGCCGGCUUUUUUGCUAUUUGGCUUCGACCUGUGGUUCGCUGUCCUCUUCCAUUAUGAGUAUCUGCCACAGGCAGAAACUCAAAUGCUAUGGUACGUUUGCUUCCUCAAAUGCUAUGCUACGUUUGCCAUCUCUGCGAUAUGUACAGUAACACCUUCUAAAGGCUUUUAGGCAAAGCUUGCUACCAAAGAUGCAAGUCGUGAAUAUGUAGUGACAAAUGGAUAUUGCUUGACUUUGCUGAAUGAAACAACCUCCAUAUCUCAUUAGAUCUUCAGAGUGGUAUGACUAUCUGAUUACUUCAUUCUUAUAUCUUAAAUAUAGGAUUCGUUACAACCAUCUAGCAGCCCCUAUAAUUUUUAAUGAGCCAAAGACCAGGUUGGCAUGCAGGAAGAAACAAGCAGAUUACAUGGAUCCUCUCCAAAAUGCCUUUUAAGUAAGCUACUGUAUAUCUUCUUGACCCUUUUUUUCUUGGAACAUAGUUUAAUGAGUUGGAUACUUAACAUUCAUUUUUAUGUCUAACAUUCAUAUAGUAUAUUUCGUGCUAAUCAUAAUUUGUAUAGUCAAAUAAUAUAUUCAUCCGUAUUUUAUUGUUCCUGUAAUGGUUUUCCUCUGGCAUCUCCAUAUCAGAGUAUUUUCGUGUCCAACAACUGCAGUUCAAACAAAGCUAAUUAACCUCUCAUCAUAAGAAGAAGCCAAACGAAUAUAAAAUUUCAAAGUUUCGAUAUCUGUAGGUAGGGCAUGCUCUGCAAGUUGGUGGCUCGGUGCAAUUAGAAGCUUCUAUCAAUGCCAUUUAAGUCGCCAUUGAAGCAUCGCCAAAUUUUUUUCUGUGGCGCUGCAUUGCUCAAAAGCUUCCUUGGAUUCACUAUCAUGAGGUAUCAGUGUAUGCACCUGUGAGAGGUGGAUCAGGUUGGGUCGAACGAGUGGUAGAUACACAUAUGAACCUAAUUUAAGUUUAUUUCCUUUUUCUCUCUAGAUCUACUUCAAUUUGUUUGUAUUUAUUGGAUUUCUGAGGUUUCUUUUGGCUGAUUUUGCUUUACAUUCGGGAUAAAUUGUCUCAAAAAGCUCGAAUCCAGAUUGGGCUCUAUGAACAGAAAGAUUUGAGGAUCAAAGGCUUGAAUCAUUGUAUUCCUCUUCUUCGCGCUUUCCUCAUUACUAGACUAAAGGGAAUCGAAGGAUUGAGUCCCAUUUGCUUUUCUUUCUAUGGAGUGAGGGAAUCAAGGAAUAUUGGAUGAAGGAGGUUCUGCUCCUGAAAUUCAAACUCCUUCAAAUAGCAUUUUUGCUGCCCUUUCACAAUAUUGUAUUGUCUAUUAGUAAGUGAGUGUUGGAUGGACAAUAUUUUUGUUUUGGCAGAUCAUAUAAGCUUCCAGUCCAUGGAGAAAUCCCUAAAUUUUUACACAGACGGAACAAUUGAUCAAGUAUCUACCACUCAAUGAAAUAUGAGGAAUUACUUCCAAAUGUGGGGCAGGUUGGAUAGUUUUAUAUGUUCAUUUACCUUACGACUAAGUAUAUGUGGUCUUGCACAUUAGAAUAGUCUUCUGUAAGUCAUUUCUUUGCUUCAUAGUGUCAACGAAUGAAAUUUUGAUGAUAUUUAACAUCUUAAUAAGAAAGAUUCCAGUUGCUAUUUAUUUGCAAAAUCCUUUCGUAAGAUUUAUGAAUCUUAAAUACAAAUUACAUAUCCUCUUAUGUGAAAUUCUACUGCUGACUUACAGCAACUAUAGAAAGUAGGACAUACUGGACAUAUCUUGACUAAAGGAUCCACAAGCCAAUGGCGACAAUGCUCUUUUGUGGCCCUACUGGAGUUGGUAAAAAUGAAUUAGCAAAAGCUGCAAUAACUUACAAUGUUGAUAAUAUUGUAAACAUAGUAGUUUUUUAACAAUGUUGAUAAUAUUUUUUACCCAAUUAUGGCUUAUUCUCUCUGUUUUUUAUGAGUUAAUUUUAUUCUAUUGUGAGGUUUUUUUUUCCAAAUUUAGGUUGCUUUGGAGCUUUGAACUUUAGGAUGUUUUAUGUGAGUUAAUUUCAUUAUGUUGUGAUUUUUUUACUUAAUUCUCUUGCUCGGGGUUGCUUUGAAGCACUGGAUCUUAAGUUGCUGGGAUAUGGCCCAUGGGUAUUUUUUUUGGUGGUUUAAUUCUUCAAAUGUUAAUUGUUAAACUAUCCAUGUAAGUUCCAAGUAUCAAUCUUGCUGUAUUCUACUUGUUUUCUGUGAUUUUUAAGUUUUUAUAUUUUUAGUAGUAGUUUCUUUAAGGUCUUGGGAACUUUAAGUAUUAAUUUUGCAUUUGUUCUGCUAAUUGCCAGUGACAUGCGGAUCCCAUUUAUCUUAUGCUUUUUUUUUUGUUGAGAUUGUUCUUGCUUUAGAUUUUUAACUGGAGCUGCUUGAAAAUCUUCAUGAUUGGAGCUGCUUGAAAUUCUUCAUGAUUGUUGCUUGCUUUCAUGAUUUUUAACUGGAUGUUUAUCUCUAAAGGAAAGGUUGCUUCUUUGUCGAUCUUAAUUCUCUUGCAAUACCAAUAUACAUUUAUUAGGGAAAUAUUGGGAAUUCAGAGUAUUGAUUUGCUUUUUGGUUUGUUAAUUGAGUUAAUUUAUAUUCCGACAAUGGAUUGCAGCCCAGACUCCAGAACUCCAUUAUGUCCAUAUGAUUCUUUGAUUAGAUUAGAUUGUUGUAACAUGCACGACAUUUAUGUUCUAAACUUGUGGAUCUGGACAUAAACCCUUUGAGAAAACGGGUACAAAGCAUAAAUUCGAGACACGCAAUGCUUAGCAUGAUAAUAUAGAUAAUUAUUGCAAAUUUUAGUGGAUUUUCAUUGUAUUUCCACGAACAAGAUGCUGCACCAAAAUUACUGCCCUGCUCUAUUUACUUAUCAUAGUUCACCAAAGGCCAUACUUAUUGUAUUGUAAGCAUGAUUUGGUUGAUGAACAUAAACAAUGUGAGGAGAAAGGAAAAUCAACGUCUGUCUAACUGAACAAGGUUUAUUUUUAUGGAUUAGUUUAGGUUUUCCAUUGUCAUCAUUUUAAAGAGGAGCCCUUAAUCAUUCUGUACAAAAUUGAUUAAUCCUAUGUUAACCAAUAUCCAAUUUUGAAAGCACCAUAGAAUGCCAAGAAUACCAAAGAAAACUAACUACGAGGGAGAAGACGGAAAACAAUCAGCCCAAGAAAUAACCAAUAAAAAACGUGUCCGCAAAGCGCGGGUUGGAUGCUAGUGUUUUAUAUUGUUUUAGUUUAUGUUUGUAAGUAAGCCACGUGGGCUAGCUAGUUCCAAAAAACUAGUUUGCAUCUAAAAGCUUGUGUUUGUUCGUGUGUGGCUGUACUGUACUACAAAUUGCAGACUGAAUAGAUGAAUGUUCUCUCUGCAAGUUACAACCUUUGAUCAGUUAUUUAUCUCUACUUCACUUCAGUUUGUUGUUUCGUGAAUUUGUCUUGCUGUGUAAGGUUUAGCUAGCUGCUGACCUUGUUGUUGAACUUCUGAAGUGAAGAUUGCAGGGUGCUGGAGUGUUGACAGUGUUUUCAGGUCAAGCCAGCUGCUGAUCUUGGUGUUCUUGUGGUGCUAACAGACUAGUUGUCUAGCUCAGUUUCUUAGCUUGCGUUUACGGUAUGAUAAAACUGCAAAGUAAUAUGUAAUGAAGGCGUUUCAAUAGGUUGCUAAGUCCAUCACCUCAGUCGCUAUCAACAAAUUAAUGUGACCUUCCAAUGAUGCCAAUGAAAAUUAAAUGCAUGUAA